GGAGGCGUGCCGGAGUGGCCGAACGGGCAUGUCUGGAGAACAUGUAUAUCCUAAAGGGUAUCGGAGGUUCGAAUCCUCCCGCCUCCG
rnacentral:tRNA from 1 species